UUGAUUUGGAAUUUUUGACAGCCCUGGUUGUUGAUCGGGUAUAUUUGACAUGGAGGCAAAUACGAUAAAUAUGGUGCGAUUGAACGGUAGAAAU